AGCGUUGUUCGGAAUUACUGGGCGUAAAGCGCACGUAGGCGGUUUUUUAAGUCAGAGGUGAAAGCCCGGGGCUCAACCCCGGAAUAGCCUUUGAAACUGGAGAACUUGAAUCUUGGAGAGGUCAGUGGAAUUCCGAGUGUAG
rnacentral:rRNA from 1 species